rnacentral:rRNA from 1 species
AUUGAACGCUGGCGGCAGGCCUAACACAUGCAAGUCGAACGAGUGGCGGACGGGUGAGUAAUGUCUGGGAAACUUCCUGAUGGAGGGGGAUAACUUCUGGAAACGGUCGCUAAUACCGCAUACCAUCGGAUGUGCCCAGAUGGGAUUAGCUAGUAGGUGGGGUAAAGGCUCACCUAGGCGACGCGCCCUAGCUGGUCUGAGAGGAUGAGCAGCAACACUGGAACUGAGACACGGUCCAGACUCCUACGGGAGGCAGCAGUGGGGAAUAUUGCACAAUGGGCGCAAGCCUGAUGCAGCCAUGCCGCGUGUAUGAAGAAGGCCUUCGGGUUGUAAAGUACUUUCGGCGGAGAGGCGUUACCCGCAGAAGAAGCACCGGCUAACUCCGUGCCAGCAGCCGCGGUAAUAC